rnacentral:lncRNA from 1 species
GAUCCGAGGCUUUAUUUGGGAUCCUCCGGGACCCUCUGGAAUCUUUGGGACCCUCUGGGACCCCUCCCCUAUUUCCGGCACCCCCCACACCCAUCCCCAUCCCCAAUGGACCCUCUGGGAUCCUCUGGGAUCUUUUGGGACCCUCUGGGACCCCUCCCCUAUUUCUAACACCCCCCACACCCGUACCCUUCCCCGGAGCUGGAUCCUGGCUGGGCCCUGGAUCCCUGACCGGAUCCCUGACCGGAUCCCUGACCGGAUCCCUGACCGGAUCCCUGGCUGUAGCCCUGACCGGAUCCCUGACCGUACCCCUGACCAGAUCCCCAGCUGUACCCCUGACCGGAUCCCUGACCGGAUCCCUGACCGUACCCCUGACCGUACCCCUGACCAUACCCCUGACCGGAUCCCCAGCUGUACCCCUGACCGGACCCCUGACCGGAUCCCGGACCGGAUCCCGGCCCCCGGCGGAUGGGCAGGCGCCCCCCGAUGCGGGCGGGGUGCCGCAGCCCCGGCACGAAGGGGAUCCCGGGGUUCUUGUAGCCGGGGCGCUGCCGGGAUCCCCCGAAGGAGCCCGAAUCCCCUCCGUAGGAUCCCGAUCCACCUCCGUAGGAUCCUGAUCCCCCAUAGGAUCCUGAUCCACCUCCGUAGGAUCCUGAUCCACUCCCGUAGGAUCCCGAUCCACCCCCGUAGGAUCCUGAUCCACCUCCGUAGGAUC